AAAAAUAAUGAUGUGCUAAGGGAAGUGAACUAUGCUCAGAUUGCAUUGCAAAGUAAAGGUUUAUCACUUCGUCUAUUCAUUGGAGAGAAACGGUUGCAUCUAGCAGGAGAGGCAAUAGAUUUUGCUGUA